rnacentral:rRNA from 1 species
GACAGAGGGUGCAAACGUUGUUCGGAAUUACUGGGCGUAAAGCGUGUGUAGGCGGCUUUGCAAGUCGGAUGUGAAAGCCCUGGGCUCAACCCAGGAAGUGCACUCGAUACUGCAGAGCUUGAGUAUCGGAGAGGUUGGUGGAAUUCUCGGUGUAGAGGUGAAAUUCGUAGAUAUCGAGAGGAACACCGGUGGCGAAGGCGGCCAACUGGACGAAUACUGACGCUCAGACGCGAAAGCGUGGGUAGCAAACAGG